ACUAAAACACAAAUCCCCUCUUCCCAGGAGCAUAAAGUCUUUUUCCAAUUUUGCAGCUUCUGGAAACAUACAAGUAUUCCUGAAAGACGAAGGCACUUGUCUAGCCAGCCAGUUUAGUGGAAUCAAGCCUGGGUAUGAAUGAGCUCCAGCUGUCAUAACGCCUCUUCACGUGCAUCCGUCAUGGAGCAAGAACAGCCCUUCCUCCUGCUUCUCCUCUUCAGCCUACUCAACAAGAAGACAACAAGGACGAUGGCCUUACGAUGUUCCACUUCC
rnacentral:lncRNA from 1 species